rnacentral:lncRNA from 1 species
CUUCCUCCUUCCUUUGUUAUCCUCUGCCUUUGCCUCUUUUGAAAAGUUCUAAGUUGCUAGCCGAUCAGGACAAAUACAGAAUGUGAGGUCCCCUUCCAGACAACAGACACCGGACACAGCAGUAGCGUGGACGCGUAAAGUUAUAAAUGACCCUGUCUCCUUUGUUCAGUGUACUCUUGUGGCAAAACUGCUGGCGAGUGUACCCUUUCUGCAGAAAGUAAAAAUGGCCUUGCUGAGGUAGUUAAAAUUUAUGUUCAAGUGCUAUUUCUUUACAGCACUGGGGAAGAAGCAUUUCUAACAGGAGCCUGCAUGCUGAGGAUGGCAGAGGAAAAAGACAGAGCCAUACUGAGCCCUUGGAGAUGCCACUGAGGAGCUACGCUAACCAAUCCUGGAGGCACCAUAACCUAGGACUUCUUCUUAUACAAGCUUCUAACAACUCAGUAUACUCCUAUGAACAAAAUUUGGAGCAUAUUUGUUUCUCUCUACCUGAUUUCUUCAGACUGUGGAAACUAUUUAGGAAUCAAACUUGACUUAUGGAUCCAAUAAAGCCCUUGGAAAAACUGGCCUCAUAUUUUGUGUAAACAGUCCCCGUACAGGGUUUCUGACUUGUGGACAUGAGACUUCACAGCCUGCUAAAAAUAAGCUUUUGGGACCUACCCAUUUAGGAAUAAACAGUCCUAGCCUUGAGAGAUCAGAUGAAAUCUGAGGCCAGAGACUCAUUUUCUUCUAAAAUGCUUUCUCCAAAAGAUUUUUAAAUAGAAAAGAGGGGAAAUGUGAAAGGAAAAUGUCUUCAGCCCCUUCAAGCUGGGAACUCUCAGUACAAAUCUGUCUCUCAUUCUAUUCAAAGUCAUUUCUCUGCUCAGAGAUAGAUGCAUAUUCUGAUUGCCUUCUUUGGAAAGACUUACCAGAAACUCAAAAGAAUGCAACCAUCUGUCUCUCACCUACCUGUGACCUGGAAGCCCAUAGGGUAAAGGGGGCUUGCUUUGAGUUGUCUCUACUUUUCUGAAUGGAAUGAAUGUACUUCUUACAUUUAUUGAUUGAUGUCUCAUGUUUCCCUAAAAUGUAUAAAACCAAUCUGUGCCCCGGCCACCCUGGGCAUGUGUUGUCAGGACUUCCUAAGGCUAUGUCACAGGUGCAUCCUCAACUUUGGCAAAUAAACUUUCUAAAUUAACUGAGACCUCUCUCAGAUUUUCUGGGUUCACUAUUCCUACUUGGAAAAUUGUCGAUAU